GAUGAAGAACGCAGCGAAAUGCGAUAAGUAAUGUGAAUUGCAGAAUUCAGUGAAUCAUCGAAUCUUUGAACGCACAUUGCGCCCGCCAGUAUUCUGGCGGACAUGCCUGUUCGAGCGUCAUUACAACCCUCAGGCCCCCGGGCCUGGCGUUGGGGAUCGGCGGAGCCCCCCGUGGGCACACGCCGUCCCCCAAAUGCAGUGGCGGUCCCGCCGCAGCUUCCAUCGCGUAGUAGCUAACACCUCGCGACUGGAGAGCGGCGCGGCCACGCCGUAAAACACCCAACUUUACCAAGGUUGACCUCGGAUCAGGUAGGAAUACCCGCUGAACUUAAGCAUAUCAAUAAGCGGAGGA
rnacentral:misc_RNA from 1 species